rnacentral:rRNA from 1 species
UACGUAGGGGGCAAGCGUUGUCCGGAUUUAUUGGGCGUAAAGAGCGUGUAGGCGGUUUGGUAGGUCCGCUGUGAAAACUCGAGGCUCAACCUCGAGACGCCGGUGGAAACCAUCAGACUAGAGUCCGGAAGAGGAGAGCGGAAUUCCUGGUGUAGCGGUGAAAUGCGCAGAUAUCAGGAGGAACACCAAUGGCGAAGGCAGCUCGCUGGGACGGUACUGACGCUGAGACGCGAAAGCGUGGGGAGCAAACAGG